UUUCCGUAGGUGAACCUGCGGAAGGAUCAUUAUUGUAUAACCGAGGUGCGAGGGCUGUCGCUGACCCGACAGGUCGUGCACGCCCGAGUGCCCUCACACACAUCCAUCUCACCCCUAUGUGCACCACCGCGUGGGUCCCCCUUGGGCUUGUUCGGAGGGGGGCUUACGUUUUCACACAAACUUUGUAUGCAGUGUAGAAUGUAUUUUUUGUUUUUGCGAUCACGCAAUCAAUACAACUUUCAACAACGGAUCUCUUGGCUCUC
rnacentral:misc_RNA from 1 species